rnacentral:rRNA from 1 species
UACGGAGGGGGCUAGCGUUGUUCGGAAUUACUGGGCGUAAAGCGCGCGUAGGCGGACCUGCAAGUCGGGGGUGAAAGCCCGAGGCUCAACCUCGGAACUGCCUUCGAUACUGCGGGUCUCGAGUCCGGGAGAGGUGAGUGGAAUUCCUAGUGUAGAGGUGAAAUUCGUAGAUAUUAGGAAGAACACCAGUGGCGAAGGCGGCUUUCUGGACAGCAUCUGACGCUGAGACGCGAAAGCGUGGGGAGCAAACAGG